GAUCCUGGCUCAGGACGAACGCUGGCGGCGUGCUUAACACAUGCAAGUCGAACGAAGCACUUUAUUUGAUUUCCUUCGGGAUUGAUUAUUUUGUGACUGAGUGGCGGACGGGUGAGUAACGCGUGGGUAACCUGCCUUGUACAGGGGGAUAACGGUUGGAAACGGCUGCUAAUACCGCAUAAGCGCACAGCAUCGCAUGAUGCAGUGUGAAAAACUCCGGUGGUAUAAGAUGGACCCGCGUUGG
rnacentral:rRNA from 1 species